UUUCCGUAGGUGAACCUGCGGAAGGAUCAUUACCGAGUGAGGGCCCUCUGGGUCCAACCUCCCACCCGUGUUUAUCGUACCUUGUUGCUUCGGCGGGCCCGCCUCACGGCCGCCGGGGGGCACCCGCCCCCGGGCCCGCGCCCGCCGAAGACACCAUUGAACGCUGUCUUAAGAUUGGAGUCUGAGCAUCUUAGCUAAAUCAGUUAAAACUUUCAACAACGGAUCUCUUGGUUCCG
rnacentral:misc_RNA from 1 species